UGCCAGUCGACAGAGGAACUACAAACGACACAAAAAUUGUAAACGGCAAAAGAAAAAAUCAUGACAAUGAUUUGGAGUCCGAUGUUAGAAAGAAACCCUGUCAAGAUCUGUGUUCACAAAUUGGCCCACCACUUCAGGCUCCACACAUUCUAUUUACAGAAAAAAUAACAUCUCGUCUAUGUCAGUGCAUAAGUGGUAGCUGGGAAAUAUUUUUCGUUGAGCUGGGCCUAAAGAGAGUCAAGACCCAACAAAUUCAGAAGGAACAUAAAGGCGAACCAGAAAGUGCGUUAAUAUUUCAAGCCCUUCAAGUUUUAGGGGAUUUGAGGUCAGAGCGAGGUGGCUACUACCUGGACGAUUUUCUUAAUUCAGCAUGGGAAUCACCAGCACUUGUUCAUGUGGAUUGGGAUCUUAUAGGACGUAAACUUCCCCAAUACUUUUAAACGUAAUAAUCGAAAUUACCCGAAACCAGUCACAACAUUGUCUUUCUAGUGUUUUAGGGCCAGAUUGUGUUCCCAUAUACUACCUUUAAUUAAGUGUUCAUGCUUUUCCAAAAGGAUUGUAUUCCAUUGCGACCUGGUCAUUAUGCUCAUUUAUGUGACCAAGUUCAAACAAAAAUAGUUGA